rnacentral:rRNA from 1 species
CAGUCGCCACGGGAAUACAGAGGGUGCAAGCGUUAAUCGGAAUUACUGGGCGUAAAGCGCGCGUAGGUGGUUUGUUAAGUUGGAUGUGAAAUCCCCGGGCUCAACCUGGGAACUGCAUACAAAACUGGCAAGCUAGAGUAUGGUAGAGGGUGGUGGAAUUUCCUGUGUAGCGGUGAAAUGCGUAGAUAUAGGAAGGAACACCAGUGGCGAAGGCGACCACCUGGACUGAUACUGACACUGAGGUGCGAAAGCGUGGGGAGCAAACAGGAUUAGAUACCCGUGUAGUCCCUGUCUCUUAUAC